CAACAGGGAUUGCCCCAGUAACGGCGAGUGAAGCGGCAACAGCUCAAAUUUGAAAUCUGGCUCUCGGGCCCGAGUUGUAAUUUGUAGAGGAUGCUUUUGGUGAGGUGCCUUCCGAGUUCCCUGGAACGGGACGCCAUAGAGGGUGAGAGCCCCGUCUGGUUGGACACCGAUCCUCUGUAAAGCUCCUUCGACGAGUCGAGUAGUUUGGGAAUGCUGCUCUAAAUGGGAGGUAUAUGUCUUCUAAAGCUAAAUACCGGCCAGAGACCGAUAGCGCACAAGUAGAGUGAUCGAAAGAUGAAAAGAACUUUGAAAAGAGAGUUAAACAGUACGUGAAAUUGUUGAAAGGGAAGCGCUUGUGACCAGACUUGGGCUUGGUUGAUCAUCCGGGGUUCUCCCCGGUGCACUCUUCCGGCUCAGGCCAGCAUCAGUUCGCCCUGGGGGACAAAGGCUUCGGGAAUGUGGCUCUCUCCGGGGAGUGUUAU
rnacentral:rRNA from 5 species